ensembl:lncRNA
GAAAGUUCCAAGGUAUAAAGAAGAAUUCUAAAGCUGUCUCACCCAAUCCCAUGCUCUCCUUACUCAAUCAAAUUCCAGACUAGGAACCCCUGUGAAGGGAUUUUGCUGAGGGAAUUCAGGUGUUGGGAGUUUCUGAGUGGGUCCAAUGUAAUCACGUGAGCCCUUAAAAGUGGAAGGCACGGUCAGCGCAGAGAAACCUUCACUGUGCCCUUGCUAGUUUCAAAGAUGGAGGAGGAGGCGGCUCUAAGGCAAGGUAGAGGUCGGCUUCUAGAAACAGACAGCCCCAGAAAGCUCAAGAAAACAGGGGCCUUAGUCCGACAAGGAACUGAACUGAUUGAAAAGUGAAAAGUUAGUCAUACAGUCAUGUCUGACUCUUUGAGAUCCCAUGGACUGUAGCCCGCCAUGUCCUCUGUCCUUGAAAUUACCGGAGACAAGAGUACUGGAGUGGGUUGCCAUUUCCUUCUCCAUACAACCUGUCUAAAUCUGAAAGUGGAUUCAUCCCUAGAACUUCUAGAAGAAGUGCAGCCCUGACAACAGCUUGAUUCUGGCCCCAUGAAGACUCCAAGCAGAGAACCAGCUGAGCCACGCCGGGUCCAGGCAUCUGACAUACAGAUAAUACUUUGUGUUAUUUAUUUUUUAAGCGGUUAUUUACUUCUUUGGCUGCACUGGGUCUUAGUUGUGGCAUGCGGAAUUUUCUUUUUUCUUUGUCUUAGUUGCGGCCUGCCAGAUCUUUAUUUGGCAUGGAAAUCUUAGUUGCAGCAUGGGGGUCUAGUUCCCUGGCCAGGGAUGGAACCAGGGCCCCCUGCAUGGAGAGUGGGAGGUCCUGACUGGACCACCAGGAAAGUCCCUCAUUUGUGUUAUUUUAAUUGUUAAAUUUGUGGUCCUUGUUAACAGUGGCAAUUGAAAUCUUAUACACAUGGUAAUACUGGUGCGGCUGGUCCCAGGAACACAAGUUGAGAAUCAUUGUUUUCCGUUAUGCAGGGAGAGGAAUUUUCCAUUAAGAGUGGACAGGAAGAGGAAAAUGAGAAUCUGAGAAAAG